rnacentral:rRNA from 1 species
GCCGCGUGAGGGAUGACGGCCUUCGGGUUGUAAACCUCUUUCAGCAGGGAAGAAGCGAAAGUGACGGUACCUGCAGAAGAAGCACCGGCUAACUACGUGCCAGCAGCCGCGGUAAUACGUAGGGUGCGAGCGUUGUCCGGAAUUAUUGGGCGUAAAGAGCUUGUAGGCGGUUUGUCGCGUCUGCUGUGAAAAUCCGGGGCUCAACCCCGGACUUGCAGUGGGUACGGGCAGACUAGAGUGUGGUAGGGGAGACUGGAAUUCCUGGUGUAGCGGUGAAAUGCGCAGAUAUCAGGAGGAACACCGAUGGCGAAGGCAGGUCUCUGGGCCACUACUGACGCUGAGAAGCGAAAGCAUGGGGAGCGAACAGGAUUAGAUACCCUGGUAGUCCAUGCCGUAAACGUUGGGCGCUAGGUGUGGGACUCAUUCCACGAGUUCCGUGCCGCAGCUAACGCAUUAAGCGCCCCGCCUGGGGAGUACGGCCGCAAGGCUAAAACUCAAAGGAAUUGACGGGGGCCCGCACAAGCGGCGGAGCAUGCGGAUUAAUUCGAUGCAACGCGAAGAACCUUACCAAGGCUUGACAUAUACCGGAAACAUCCAGAGAUGGGUGCCCCUUUUGGUCGGUAUACAGGUGGUGCAUGGUUGUCGUCAGCUCGUGUCGUGAGAUGUUGGGUUAAGUCCCGCAACGAGCGCAACCCUCGUUCUAUGUUGCCAGCACGUGAUGGUGGGGACUCAUAGGAGACUGC